rnacentral:lncRNA from 10 species
AGUAUGGUCCGUGGGGACUUCAAGAAGGAGUGAGUGGAAACAAAGGGAAGUGGAACCCUGUGGCAUGAGCAAUGGGGUAGUUGGACAAGAGGUAUUACCAUUCAAGAACUCCCUGAGAGAAAAUACCAGGUCCUGCUAUCAUGCGGCGGAACUCAGAGUGCCAGGCUUUGUAGUAUUUAUGCAAAUGUGACUGGAAUUGUAAUCAAAGGAUGUUCAAACUGAAAGGGUGGCAACACUUGUACCUCAAUCUUUCCUGCUGGUCUAUUAGCUCAACAGCAAUUGACACCUGCAAAGUUUGUCUUUUGUUUCAGAAAUCCCUGCUAUGUGCUUGUCACAGGAGAGGCACUCAACAAAUGUCAGCUGAAUGUAUCAAUAGAACCCACACAAGUUCAAACAUCACAUUCAAGUAACAAGAUGUUUAGCUGGGCACAUGGCCACUCAAAAUGAAGACUUCAUUCUUGGCCUGCCUUGCAGGAAGAUAUGGCCACGUGACUGAGAUCUGGCCUAUGGAAUGUGAAUAGAAAUAUAUUGCACCUCCCCCUUUCUUCUUCUUCUGAUCAUUUUAUCCAGUUUCUUGGAACUUGGAUCGGCUGCUGAAACUCCAUCUCAUAUUAUGAGGGGAAAGGCCAUAGUCCACUAGAGUUACUGGUAUAGGAAGCUGGAAAAAGCCUGUGUCCCCAAGGAAUUUUUUGAGCAACGCUAUCAUGUCACUCCUGGAUUGACUGCCUACAAGACAUUUUUAAAUGUGAGAUAAAUAAACCUUCAUAUUUUUAAUCAACUAUUUUUUUCUUCUUUUACUUGAAGCAGUAUUUUAUUCUAACUAAAACAAAUUAAGAACUAAAAUUUAGUAAACCUAAGGUAUUUCAUUGCAUCAAAAAACUUAUGAAAUAAUUUAACACUGUAAUUAUCGAACAUAAAUAGAUAAGCUAACAAAAGGAUAUGUAGGAUGACAAAAUGAACUCAUCCAGCAGUUUCAAAAAUCAUGUCAGUCUUUAAUUUUUUAAAUUUGAACUAUGCUAUACAUAGAAUAUAAUAUACAUAAUUGCACAUGUACAAUUUUUAAAAAUUAGGAUGAAAUGAGCACCUAUAUGACCACUGCUAAAAUUAACAAAUAAAGCACCCACUCUCAGUAUCUUUAGAGCCUUCUGUGUACUCCUCACUAAUACAUCCCUCUCCUUGGUCUAUAUCCCAAAUGUAACUGCUUCCCCAGCUUUGUGUUAAUCAAUCACAUAUUCUGCAAUGUAUUUUUAUCUGCAAGUAACAUCAGAAAAGUUUGUUUAGAAUUCGUUGUUUUUUAGCAUGACAUAAAUUGAGUCAUAUCAGUGCUUUAAUUUUAAUAUUGAACGAGAAAAAAUACAACAUUGACUAAUUCAAGUUUGAUAUUCCCACGGAAUGUUUGGGCACCAUAGACCCACCAAAAGUUUUCCCAAGAAUGAAUGAGUCUUAAGAUUCCUUAAGAUCCCAGUUGCAACAUUCUUCAAAUAAUAGUUAUUGAUUAGUGUAAACAACUCCUCAUCUGCACUCUGAAUUAUAAGGGAUUUUGAUUUGAACCAUUUCGAUUGAGCCUAUAUAAAUUUGCUGUAAAUCAUGAGAGUAUGCUCUAAAGAUAUUUCAUCAUAGCUUAUAUAUCAUUUUUUUCUUUGUCAGAAUUGAAGGCAAGGCUGAAUAAUUAUAAUCAUGUUUAUAUUUAAAUCCAGAAAUAUUACUUUCUCUAUCAUUAUGAAACUAGUGGUUUAACAUGUUUAUUAAUGAUUUCACCCAAAAGACACUUCAAAACAGACAUUAUUGCUACUUGUUUAGUUUUAAUCUUCCAAGAUAAUGACAUAUAUGUUCUGCCAUAAUUUUUGUCUAAUUUUUGUACCCAUUUGUAUCUUUCUUAAUUGCCUAAUUAAAAGAGUGUAACGCAGGUUUUAUAAGUUGAAUUAUUGCUGAGAUACCUUAUGCUUACAAUAUUAUGUGUGUGUGUAUGAAUUUCUAAUCUGUGUCAGGUCAUAAUCAUUUCAGUUUCAAUGAGUUAGGAGUGACAGCUGCUUAGGAAACAACUUGUUUCUAUUAAAGCUAGCAUAUUUGUCAUUAGAGUAAGGAUCUCUUUGGCAGUUUAUUUUGUAUUGUUAAUAAUUAUCAUUAUUUUGACUAUAGGGCAUUUAAUUUCCACAUUUAACAUUUGGUACUGUUAUGUAAGCAACUGACUCAUAAAAUAAAAUCCAAACUGUCAACAUUUUUGCAAUCAUAGGGAGGACAAGUAAGCAAAUUAGAUGAAUACAAGACCUAAAUUAAGGGGCAUGUGAAUCAUACAGAAUUUAUUAAUAAGAAUGUGGAUGAACUAUAGCACUUCAUUCUAUAUUGAUGCUGAAUUAGAGUUCAUUUGACUUAUGGUAGUUACUAAAAUGUCCUUUUUCUUUUUUAUUAAAAAUGGGGAUAUCAACCAUUUUAUUUAUUUUAAUGUUGUGUAUGCCUGGGAGUAAGAAAACAUGUAUAAAAUAUGGUACACAUGGUGACGACUGAGGGCGGAAGCAUGGUUAUCACUGUCUGCAACAUAUCCAUUGUUGUCCCAGCAAUCUUGAUCUGACUGACAUAUUAUAAGAGAAUUACUCAAAUGGCUACAAGUUACAAACCAAUUAGUUUGGGUUAUUAUAAUGAGUCCUCAGCCACAGACAAUUAGAUGCCCCCUUUUCUGUAUAGAUCCCUGAUAUUCUAAAAGCCUGAAAGCUGCUGUGGAGCAUUCGCUAUCCUUCCCACAUUUGAAUGAAAUAAAUUGAUCACAGAAAUAUCCUGUGAUGUACCCUAAGAGAAAGAGCCCUCCUAUCAGACACCCUGGGUUUUAACCCGAACUCUGUCAUUUAUUUUAAAAAGCUGUGUAAUCUUCAGAUAUUUGUUUAAGUUCUUCAUGCCUCAGUCUUUUCAUCAGCAAAGUGGGAAAAAAUAGUAAUAUUUGAUAGGGUUGCUGUGUGGACGAAAUGAGAAAACACAUUCUAAGCCCUUAGAAAAAAGCUUAGCAUAUUAUAAGCACUAAAAAACUCAGUUUUACUAUCAUCCUAAGUGACAUUUACAAUUUCUAGAUAAUUAAAUGAGUCUAGAAUCGUUUUACUUAAAGUACCAAAGAAAAUCACAGGCAGAUGUGGGUACAAGUGCCCCAGAGUCCACGGUCUUAAAUUGACACCUUCUCUAUCUUAUUUCUGAGAACAAAAUUUUAAAUUCCUCAAAAUAUGCCACAAGAAUUAUGGCAUUGGACAUCUAAAAAUUGAGCUGUAUCCAUAUUUUGCUCAUGUAGGACCAGAAAAACUUUAUAAAUAUUUUGGCUCUAACAAUUUUUUCAGAGUGCUGGGGCAGACCUAUGUCUUAGCCAUUUUUGUACACACGGGAUUAGCCCAUCUUACAGAUAGUGGGCACUCAAAAAAUGUUGGUUGAAUGGGUAAUUUCUUAGUUUUGGUCUGUCUGCUCUGCAAGACGAUUCCUGAUCUGAAGGCAUUUCUCAAUCCUCAUCCCAUUGUCCCGCAAUUUAUUGGGUCAAGCUCUACGUAUGUAGAAAAUGGCCAUAAUUUUUACAUUUCUUAUUCUCGUCUAUAUCAAAAUCCUGAAUUUCUCCA